rnacentral:lncRNA from 1 species
AUGCCGCAUCUUUUUUAGAGAAAUCAAUUGAAACAGAGCCAAAUACGAUGUCACAUUCUACUCAUUCUUUGUUCUUCGUCUUCUCCGAUUGAAGAUUAUGUUCUGAUGUAAUCGUCGCUCUUCUUCAUCAUCAAUCGCAAUAGCGACAAAAGUUUUAAUCGGUUCACGGCUAGGCUCUCUCAUCAUGAUUUUUUAUUGUUCCAUUGGACUUUAAUAUAUAUGCUGGAGAUUCUGAUGAAGAUAUUGACCAACAAGUUAUCAAAAUCAAGGUUUUUUUGUGAAAUGGAAGAUCAUGUAGAACAACAACUUAUCAACAAACAGAACUGAAACUAUUACCCACCAGAGUCACGAGUCGAUCUUUUUGCCAAGAGACGGUCAAACAAGGCACUCCAAAUAUUACUGAUUGUGUGAUGGCUGAACUCGAGAAGCUUGGACAGGAAUAUCGUGUUGCUUUGAGAAUUGCUAAGGAUCCUAUUUGAAAGGCUUCAUUGCACUCACAAAGGAACUUAUGCUGUUGACUGCUUUGUUGAAAGUGUUAAUCAGCCCAACAAUUAACUCGAUAUCUAACGGUGUUUGAGGAUAGCCCUUCAUGUUGCAUGCUAUUUUUUCCACCUUUUGAUCUUGAUGUUUUUUUCUCAAGAUCUGGUAAAAGGUCGAGACGGUUUGGUUGAAGCAAGGCAAUUUUUACGAGCUCCGAUUGUAUAUGGAAGGGUAAAAUUAUAGGUUGCAGGCCCCAUUUGAUUCAGUCACAACUUAUUUGAAAUAAAAAGUGAUCGCCGUAAGAACUAAAUUUGUCACAAAAGGAUAACCGAAUACAAGCCAAUAUCAAGGGUGUUUGAAUUAGGCGUGAUUAAAUUUGUUAACUUUCAUUAACAAAAUCCAGGAUGCAGGACUUUGUUCAGAAACAGAAACAAAUGGGUGUUUCUUUAGAGGAAAUGGUUACUCCAUAAUAAUUUAGAGGAUACUGUUUUGAUGCAUGCAUGUUAUAUUCAUUGCAAGGAGGACUAAAAGAACCUGAGCUAUGUGUGUUUCGGAAUAACCACUUCAAGACAAUCUUCAAGGUAAACCGGAAACGCAACUAAAUUGCCGAUUCAUUUGAAGUCAGAGGUAGAAUUAAAAGAUAUUAAUCAAAUCCGAACCAAGUUUAGAAGAAGAAGCAAUUCGCAAAAGUAAAAGGAGAGUGGUCUGAAGAGAAACGAUGACGGCGAUAACGGUUGAUAUAGGGUUUCUUCAGUUGAUGUAGCAAUCAUCAUCGGAUUUUGUCCACAAUCAAGGAACAAUGGAGGACUGGGAUUUGGAGACGUUGGAAAAAGUUGUGGAAUCAAAAGGAAAAGAGUACAACCAGAAUAAACCAACCGACAUCGUUUGCAAACACUUCCUCAAUGCAAUGGAGAAAAAGCAAUAUGGUUGGUUCUGGGUAUGUCCAAACGGUAAUAAAGAGUGUCAUUACAGACACGCUCUCCCUCCCGAAUACAUCUUGAAAUCCCAAAUGAAAGCUCUUUUAGAAGAAGAGGCUAACAAGCUAGCUAUCGAGGAUGAGAUUAAGGAUCAGGUUCUUGAACUGGCUGGAGAUGCAUGAAGAGCCUCAGCCGUCACUAUCGGAACAUCCCCGUUGCUUCACUACCGCCGGGGUGUACUCUAUUUGAUGGAUUUGGACUUUUAUUUACCCUUUAGAGACAAACGAUUUGUGUUUCUAUAUGAUAGUAAUAUCCGAGCAAAG